rnacentral:rRNA from 1 species
AGGAUGAACGCUGGCGGUCUGCUUAACACAUGCAAGUCGAACGAAGUAGCAAUACUUAGUGGCGGACGGGUGAGUAACGCGUGAGAAUCUACCUUCAGGACGGAGACAACAGUUGGAAACGACUGCUAACCCCCGAUGUACUGAAAAGGCAAAUAUUUAUAGCCUGAAGAAGAGCUCGCGUCCGAUUAGCUAGUUGGAGAGGUAAAAGCUCACCAAGGCGACGAUCGGUAGCUGGUCUGAGAGGACGAUCAGCCACACUGGGACUGAGACACGGCCCAGACUCCUACGGGAGGCAGCAGUGGGAAUUUUCCGCAAUGGGCGAAAGCCUGACGGAGCAAGACCGCGUGGGGGAAGAAGGCUCUUGGGUUGUAAACCCCUUUUCUCUGGGAAGAACACAAUGACGGUACCAGAGGAAUCAGCAUCGGCUAACUCCGUGCCAGCAGCCGC